rnacentral:rRNA from 2 species
AAACCAACAGGGAUUGCCUUAGUAACUGCGAGUGAAGCGGCAAGAGCUCAAAUUUGAAAUCUGGCAUCCGCCCGAGUUGUAAUUUGUAGAAGCAAUUUUUGAACUAGUCCUUGCAUAUGUUCCUUGGAACAGGACAUCAUAGAGGGUGAGAAUCCCGUUCAUGGUGGGGAAUCUAGUUCUUUGUAAAAUGCUUUCGACGAGUCGAGUUGUUUGGGAAUGCAGCUCUAAGUGGGUGGUAAAUUCCAUCUAAAGCUAAAUAUUGGCGAGAGACCGAUAGCGAACAAGUACAGUGAUGGAAAGAUGAAAAGUACUCCGAAAGGAGAGUGAAACAGAACGUGAAAUUGUUGAAAGGGAAGUGCUUGAGAUCAGUGAUAGAGUUUAGUGAUCAGCUUUCCUUUUGGUUUGUGCACUUGCUAUUCUCUAGGCCAGCAUCAGUUUUUGAGAUAGGAUAAUUGCAUAGGAAUGUGGCUGCUUCGGCAGUGUUAUAGCCUAUGUCGAUACUAUUUUGUAGACUGAGGACCGCGCAUUUGCUAGGAUGUUGGCAUAAUGAUCUUAAGCAGC